GACGAACGCUGGCGGCGUGCUUAACACAUGCAAGUCGAACGGAAAGGCCCUGCUUUUGUGGGGUGCUCGAGUGGCGAACGGGUGAGUAACACGUGAGUAACCUGCCCUUGACUUUGGGAUAACUUCAGGAAACUGGGGCUAAUACCGGAUAGGAGCUCCUGCUGCAUGGUGGGGGUUGGAAAGUUUCGGCGGUUGGGGAUGGACUCGCGGCUUAUCAGCUUGUUGGUGGUGUAGUGGCUUACCAAGGCUUUGACGGGUAGCCGGCCUGAGAGGGUGACCGGCCACAUUGGGACUGAGAUACGGCCCAGACUCCUACGGGAGGCAGCAGUGGGGAAUAUUGCACAAUGGGCGGAAGCCUGAUGCAGCAACGCCGCGUGCGGGAUGACGGCCUUCGGGUUGUAAACCGCUUUCGCCUGUGACGAAGCGUGAGUGACGGUAAUGGGUAAAGAAGCACCGGCUAACUACGUGCCAGCAGCCGCGGUGAUACGUAGGGUGCGAGCGUUGUCCGGAUUUAUUGGGCGUAAAGGGCUCGUAGGUGGUUGAUCGCGUCGGAAGUGUAAUCUUGGGGCUUAACCCUGAGCGUGCUUUCGAUACGGGUUGACUUGAGGAAGGUAGGGGAGAAUGGAAUUCCUGGUGGAGCGGUGGAAUGCGCAGAUAUCAGGAGGAACACCAGUGGCGAAGGCGGUUCUCUGGGCCUUUCCUGACGCUGAGGAGCGAAAGCGUGGGGAGCGAACAGGCUUAGAUACCCUGGUAGUCCACGCUGUAAACGGUGGGUACUAGGUGUGGGGUCCAUUCCACGGGUUCCGUGCCGUAGCUAACGCUUUAAGUACCCCGCCUGGGGAGUACGGCCGCAAGGCUAAAACUCAAAGGAAUUGACGGGGCCCCGCACAAGCGGCGGAGCAUGCGGAUUAAUUCGAUGCAACGCGUAGAACCUUACCUGGGUUUGACAUGGAUCGGGAGUGCUCAGAGAUGGGUGUGCCUCUUUUGGGGUCGGUUCACAGGUGGUGCAUGCCUGUCGUCAGCUCGUGUCGUGAGAUGUUGGGUUAAGUCCCGCAACGAGCGCAACCCUUGUUCACUGUUGCCAGCACGUUAUGGUGGGGACUCAGUGGAGACCGCCGGGGUCAACUCGGAGGAAGGUGGGGAUGACGUCAAGUCCUCAUGCCCCUUAUGUCCAGGGCUUCACGCAUGCUACAAUGGCUGGUACAGAGAGUGGCGAGCCUGUGAGGGUGAGCGAAUCUCGGAAAGCCGGUCUCAGUUCGGAUUGGGGUCUGCAACUCGACCUCAUGAAGUCGGAGUCGCUAGUAAUCGCAGAUCAGCAACGCUGCGGUGAAUACGUUCCCGGG
rnacentral:rRNA from 1 species